ensembl:lncRNA
CCUUUCUUCUUCUCUCAGAAAUUAGAGGUGAUGGUUGAAGAGGCAUCUGAGAGGAGUGAGUGGUCAUCAGCUCUAUACCACCCCUCCUGGUGUCAAGAACAGAAGACAAGAUACAAGUCCACUCCCAGCCCCUCCCAGCCCCUCCUGGAGCCUCAGACCAGUACAACCAGCUGACAGAGGUCCUCACACAGCAAUAACAGAAGUGUCUGUGCCAGCUGUUCACCCACAUGGGGGAGAUCACUGAGACAACUAGAGCUCAGUGAGGAUUUUAAGAUGGACAUCAAACGAACUCGCCGUAGAUUUAAGAGUCAUCCAGUCCAAAGGCAUCAAGUUUAGGUUGUUCAAAAAGGUCUCUCGCUCUCUCUGCAGUGGGCUGUUUAAGACUGAUAAAGGGAUUGGCAGUGCUGGUAUGAAGCUGGACUCUCUGGAAAGGCAGUGUGAGAGCAAACAGCUAAUAAAGUGGAUUUAACAAGUGACAUCAAUAAGGGAUCAUAGCUUUCACCAAGAUGCACCUGGUCAGUCUAUGUCAUGUUUUGUCCACUCAGGGUAUAUCUGUGUGUCGUCCCCCCUCAUCCAUUCCUCACCUGUCCUAUGUCCAUUGCAGAGGCUGCCUCCUACCAGUGUCUGUAGGGCAGAGUGUCUCAACUGCUAUCUACUCGGCCCUCUUCGCCCCCCGGGCAAGGCCAGGCACGGGCAUCAGCUCCACUGCAGGUUCCUCCUGCCUCUGCCUCUCUGCCUAGACCAGCACCCAGAGACCACCACCACCUCACAGCCCGGUCCAACGCAGCCAGGCC